GAUGAACGCUGGUGGCGUGCCUAAUACAUGCAAGUCGAGCGAACAGAUAAGGAGCUUGCUCCUUUGACGUUAGCGGCGGACGGGUGAGUAACACGUGGGUAACCUACCUAUAAGACUGGGAUAACUUCGGGAAACCGGAGCUAAUACCGGAUAACAUUUGGAACCGCAUGGUUCUAAAGUGAAAGAUGGUUUGGCUAUCACUUAUAGAUGGACCCGCGCCGUAUUAGCUAGUUGGUAAGGUAACGGAUUACCAAGGCGACGGUGCGUAGCCGACCUGAGUGGGUGAUCGGCCAACCUGGAACUGGGACACGGUCCAGACUCCUACGGGAGGCAGCAGUAGGGAAUCUUCCGCAAUGGGCGAAAGCCUGACGGAGCAACGCCGCGUGAGUGAUGAAGGGUUUCGGCUCGUAAAACUCUGUUAUUAGGGAAGAACAAACGUGUAAGUAACUGUGCACGUCUUGACGGUACCUAAUCAGAAAGCCACGGCUAACUACGUGCCAGCCGCCGCCGUAAUAC
rnacentral:rRNA from 1 species